rnacentral:lncRNA from 1 species
CCCAGUUGGAACUGGGACUGGCCUGUCCCAGAGAGGCAGAGCUCAAGUUUGGAGUGUGCUGACCCCUGCUGGCCAUGUGAGGAGGAUUUCUCUGGAGGAGGAUGAAAUGUUCUGGCACUGGGCAUGGCGGUGCACACCUGUGAUCCAAGGACCCUGACAGGCUUAGGCUAAUCAAGCUGGGCCAUUUGCUGAUUUUGAAAGGCCUUGCCUUGGAAUAACAAAGGGGCAGUGUAAAGGUCCUGGGACCAAUCCUCAGUACUAGGAAAAAGAGCUCUGUCACCUGCUGGUGGUGUUUCGGUCAGUAGCGGGCAGUGAGUCCACUGUGGCCACACCGGCUGGUGACUCGGCACGCUUCUUAGCCGAGGUAAGUAUUGCCAGGUAAAAGGCCGAAAACCAAGACCAGACCAGGCCACAACAAACCUUUAUUGGAGGGAUGAUCUGCCGAACUGCCUCUAAACAAAGGAGAGACAAAAAGCAAUAUGGCGGGGACA